UACGUAGGGGGCAAGCGUUAUCCGGAUUUACUGGGUGUAAAGGGAGCGUAGACGGCAAUGCAAGUCUGGAGUGAAAGGCGGGGGCCCAACCCCCGGACUGCUCUGGAAACUGUAUAGCUGGAGUGCAGGAGAGGUAGGUGGAAUUCCUAGUGUAGCGGUGAAAUGCGUAGAUAUUAGGAGGAACACCAGUGGCGAAGGCGGCUUACUGGACUGUAACUGACGUUGAGGCUCGAAAGCGUGGGGAGCAAACAGG
rnacentral:rRNA from 1 species